GUGGGGAAUAUUGGACAAUGGGCGCAAGCCUGAUCCAGCAAUGCCGCGUGGGUGAAGAAGGUCUUCGGAUCGUAAAGCCCUUUCGACAGGGACGAUGAUGACGGUACCUGUAGAAGAAGCCCCGGCUAACUUCGUGCCAGCAGCCGCGGUAAUACGAAGGGGGUUAGCGUUACUCGGAAUUACUGGGCGUAAAGGGCGCGUAGGCGGCUCUGUUAGUCAGGCGUGAAAUUCCUGGGCUUAACCUGGGGACUGCGCUUGAUACUGCAGGGCUUGAGGCCGAGAGAGGGUGGUGGAAUUCCCAGUGUAGAGGUGAAAUUCGUAGAUAUUGGGAAGAACACCGGUGGCGAAGGCGACCACCUGGCUCGGUUCUGACGCUGAGGCGCGACAGCGUGGGGAGCAAACAGGAUUAGAUACCCGGGUAGUCC
rnacentral:rRNA from 1 species